UUGGUCAAAGUUGGUGGAAACUGGAAGUUUGCAACCAAAGAUGAUGAUUUCGGUCAAAGUAGAUGUUUUUGGUCAAAGUUGGUAAAAAACUGGAAGUUUGCAACCAAAGAUGAUGAUUUCGGUCAAAGUAGAUGAUUUUGGUCAAAGUUGGUGGAAACUGGAAGUUUGCGACCAAAGUUGAUGUUUUCGGUCAAAGUAGAUGUUUUUGGUCAAAGUUGGUGGAAACUCGAGGUUUGCGACCAAAGUUGAUGAUUUCGGUCAAAGUUAAUGUUUUUGGUCAAAGUUGGUGGAAACUGGAAGUUUGCAACCAAAGAUGAUGAUUUCGGUCAAAGUAGAUGUUUUUGGUCAAAGUUGAUGUUUUUGGUCAAAGUUGGUGGAAACUGGAAGUUUGCAACCAAAGAUGAUGAUUUCGGUCAAAGUUGAUGUUUUUGGUCAAAGUUGAUGUUUUUGGUCAAAGUUGGUGGAAACUGGAAGUUUGCGACCAAAGUUGAUGUUUUCGGUCAAAGUUGAUGUUUUUGGUCAAAGUUGGUGGAAACUGGAAGUUUGCAACCAAAGAUGAUGAUUUCGGUCAAAGUAGAUGUUUUUGGUCAAAGUUGGUGGAAACUCGAGGUUUGCGACCAAAGUUGAUGUUUUCGGUCAAAGUAGAUGUUUUUGGUCAAAGUUGGUGGAAACUGGAAGUUUGCAACCACAGAUGAUGAUUUCGGUCAAA